UUGCUUUUAGCAGCACAUAUUGUAAAAUUGGAAUGAUACAGAGAAAACUGGCAUAGCCCUUUGCAAGAAUCACAUGCAAAUUUAUGAAGUGGUCCAUAUUUAA